GAAACCAACAGAACAGAGACAUAGAACUCAUUCAAACUGAAUGAACAGCGAUAACCAUGCUGUAUGCAGGUCUCCUCACUGCAGUCUUCUAUCUAACCUUUGACUGCAGUCGUGGUGAUGAAAUUAAUCAACUCAAUGACACGAUUACCUCGAAAGUUAGCAGCGACGUGAGGAUAUUCUGUAAUUACUCCCUGAGCAGUAGCGUUAGCACUGAGAAUCUGUUCUGGUACAAGCAGACUCCAGGCAGCUCUCCUCGAUAUCUGCUUCAUCGCAUAAAAGGUUCCACUGAUGAAUUCCGAUCACAUGAAACUGAGGCCAGGUUUUCCAAAAUGACCCAAGCAGACUCAGUGACUCAACCUUCAUAUUCAAUUGUUCUUAAACAGAGUGAGAGCACCAUUAUUCAGUGCGCGUAUGAAGCAGCAAACACUGCUCCCGGUCUCUUCUGGUACAUUCAGGACCCCAAUCAAGCCCCACAGCUCAUUCUUAGUAGAUAUUCUAAGAAGGAGAACAUUCCACCAAGGUUUCAAAAUCGUUCUCUGCAUCUUCUGACAAGACAGAGAAGACAUUUCAUCUGAAUAUCACUGUGGGUUUGCUGUCUGACUCUGCCAUGUACUUCUGUGCUCUAAGUCCCACACUGUGAGAGUCUCCAUAUCUCUUCAACAAAAAAACCCUGUUGCCUGCCAAGUGAAUCUCGCUGGUGAAGAAUGCUGUGCAGCCUUUGUUCUGUGUAGAAACUGCUAGAGAAUACAGCACACACAAAUCUGCAUCUGCUGGUAACUAUGCCCCCCCUGCACUCUACUAGAGAAAACAGAACACAUGAAUCUGUACCUGCUGGUAACUAC